UAUCCCUGCAUGCGUCCGUCCCGCGGUCUCACGUGCCGGCGCGCGGCCCGCCUCCCGCGCUCUCCUAUUGGCCGCCGGCGCUGACAAUCACGCCUUACGCCAGCGCCGCCGUUUCCCUCCGCCGGAACGAGCCAAGGCCGCUCCGGGCCCCAGCGCGGCCUCGGCUCCCGCCGCCGGUGGCGGCAGCUCCGCUGACAGGCAGCGCGGCCCGCGCUGUGGGAGCGCCUGAGCGGCCUUCGGACUGGGGGGGGGAUUGGAAGCCGUGCGCUGAGGGCGGACGGGCAGCUAACCAGCCUGAUGUCAUUUCCCUCUGCCUUUGUUUAAUUAUUUUAAACUCAAUUGCACAGUGAGGGGAAAAAAAAAGAUAACAAAAAAAAAACCAAAACAGCACAAAAAACUCCAGGCUUCCAGAUGCCAUCACACUAAUUUCGCUUAAUUGCCUUCCCGAUGCAAACACACCCGGGCUCCCUGCGCGGCGCCGCCCGGCCCGGCCCCCUCCCGCACGCCGGGGUAUUUCUAAAGAAACCAGCAAUAUUUGAGGAUUCUAAAGAUACAGCUUUUUAUGUCAACAGUUUCCUUUGAGCUGCCAGCUUGCCUGUGUGGUUUGAGACAACAGAGCAAAGCAAAAACAGCAUUAAAACUACAGUGAAAGCCCCAUCAAAAAGCAUUGAGGUAAUUAAUAUUCCUGCUUUCCUCUGCAUGGAAUGGAGUUCAGUGGUUUCCAGAAGACUUGCAUGUAAAGAGAUAAUUGAAGACUCCCCUUAUGCAUAUCCACAACAGAGCUGAAUUAAGGAAUUUUAAUCCUGGGAUGGCACAAUUUGUAGCAACAGAAACAUAUUUACUUGCAAGCUGAUCCCAUCUGUGCUCCUGCAUUGUAAAGCUUCCCCCUGCCGUGGCACUGUAUGUCUGAUUUAGUUUGGUACAACUGCUCGGAAGCUCCAGCCUUCAGGAGUGCCAGGAUUCCACACUGUGGAUCAGACGGGCAAGAUACUGUCACUUGGGCAUGGCGUUAAUAAAAAGAGGGUGUGUGGUUUUUCUUGUGUAAGAACAUGCAGUGACACUAUAAUCAUUUGAUGCUUGAUAGUUCAGUGACAUGGAAGACUGCUGAACUUUUAACUUAAUUGGGUCUUCUCAUACUUGCACUGUUUCCUGCUCAUGAACCAGGAUAUACGGGUACUAUAACUCAAAUACAGACUAAGCUGUCCCCGCUGCAGCCUCAUACCUUGCAAAUUAAGUAGGAUCAGGGCUCAAAAGAGAUAAUGAAGGAGACCUAUGUCCUGGAGGAAAUUACCAUGAAUUACAAAAUGAUGGUUUCUCUCUUAAUAAAAAAUGAGCAAAUGCUCCAGUGUGACACUAGGGAACUCUUCAGUUUAUAAAGGUACUGUCUUUCAGGAAAUACAUAUGUUAAUCCAGCUGUCAUGCAUAAAUUCUCAUUUAAGGCCUGAUCUAAUUCCCAUUGAAGUAGAGAUGGACUCAAUCUACUUAAAUUUCUCCAUGCAGUUUCACGGCUUUCCACUAUCUUCAUCUGUUGUAUCACAUUACUGUGUGUGGGUAGAGUUGCCACAUUCCACCCAUGACACAACUGUUUCAGUGGCAAGUGAAGUGAUAUGUGCAUAUGGUAUAUGCAGUCUUUACACAAACCGUAUGCUUUCAGACAGCUAUCUAUGCAACUGGGAGAAGUUAUGGGGGCUUUUUGAAUAUAAAGUCCAUUUGCUACAUUAUUAGAAGUUUGUUUGUCAUUCCCAUGACCUUACUUUUUGAUAUUUGAGAGAUGGAAAGAGUGAUUUAUUGUGUACUUUUUGUAAAUGAGUAACUCAGUUUAAUAACUUUGAAUAACCAUAAAAUGGUUGUGUGAAGAUUUU